AUUGAACGCUGGCGGCAUGCUUUACACAUGCAAGUCGAACGGUAACAGGUCUUCGGAUGCUGACGAGUGGCGAACGGGUGAGUAAUACAUCGGAACGUGCCUAGUAGUGGGGGAUAACUACUCGAAAGAGUAGCUAAUACCGCAUGAGAUCUACGGAUGAAAGCAGGGGACCUUCGGGCCUUGUGCUACUAGAGCGGCUGAUGGCAGAUUAGGCAGUUGGUGGGGUAAAGGCUUACCAAGCCUGCGAUCUGUAGCUGGUCUGAGAGGACGACCAGCAACACUGGGACUGAGACACGGCCCAGACUCCUACGGGAGGCAGCAGUGGGGAAUUUUGGACAAUGGGCGAAAGCCUGAUCCAGCAAUGCCGCGUGCAGGAUGAAGGCCCUCGGGUUGUAAACUGCUUUUGUACGGAACGAAAAGCCUGGGGCUAAUAUCCCCGGGUCAUGACGGUACCGUAAGAAUAAGCACCGGCUAACUACGUGCCAGCCGCCGCCGUAACAC
rnacentral:rRNA from 1 species